rnacentral:rRNA from 1 species
GAUGAACGCUGGCGGCGUGCCUAAUACAUGCAAGUCGAGCGAACGGACGAGAAGCUUGCUUCUCUGAUGUUAGCGGCGGACGGGUGAGUAACACGUGGAUAACCUACCUAUAAGACUGGGAUAACUUCGGGAAACCGGAGCUAAUACCGGAUAAUAUUUUGAACCGCAUGGUUCAAAAGUGAAAGACGGUCUUGCUGUCACUUAUAGAUGGAUCCGCGCUGCAUUAGCUAGUUGGUACGGUAACGGCUUACCAAGGCAACGAUGCAUAGCCGACCUGAGAGGGUGAUCGGCCACACUGGAACUGAGACACGGUCCAGACUCCUACGGGAGGCAGCAGUAGGGAAUCUUCCGCAAUGGGCGAAAGCCUGACGGAGCAACGCCGCGUGAGUGAUGAAGGUCUUCGGAUCGUAAAACUCUGUUAUUAGGGAAGAACAUAUGUGUAAGUAACUGUGCACAUCUUGACGGUACCUAAUCAGAAAGCCACGGCUAACUACGUGCCAGCAGCCGCGGUAAUACGUAGGUGGCAAGCGUUAUCCGGAAUUAUUGGGCGUAAAGCGCGCGUAGGCGGUUUUUUAAGUCUGAUGUGAAAGCCCACGGCUCAACCGUGGAGGGUCAUUGGAAACUGGAAAACUUGAGUGCAGAAGAGGAAAGUGGAAUUCCAUGUGUAGCGGUGAAAUGCGCAGAGAUAUGGAGGAACACCAGUGGCGAAGGCGACUUUCUGGUCUGUAACUGACGCUGAUGUGCGAAAGCGUGGGGAUCAAACAGGAUUAGAUACCCUGGUAGUCCACGCCGUAAACGAUGAGUGCUAAGUGUUAGGGGGUUUCCGCCCCUUAGUGCUGCAGCUAACGCAUUAAGCACUCCGCCUGGGGAGUACGACCGCAAGGUUGAAACUCAAAGGAAUUGACGGGGACCCGCACAAGCGGUGGAGCAUGUGGUUUAAUUCGAAGCAACGCGAAGAACCUUACCAAAUCUUGACAUCCUUUGACAACUCUAGAGAUAGAGCCUUCCCCUUCGGGGGACAAAGUGACAGGUGGUGCAUGGUUGUCGUCAGCUCGUGUCGUGAGAUGUUGGGUUAAGUCCCGCAACGAGCGCAACCCUUAAGCUUAGUUGCCAUCAUUAAGUUGGGCACUCUAAGUUGACUGCCGGUGACAAACCGGAGGAAGGUGGGGAUGACGUCAAAUCAUCAUGCCCCUUAUGAUUUGGGCUACACACGUGCUACAAUGGACAAUACAAAGGGCAGCGAAACCGCGAGGUCAAGCAAAUCCCAUAAAGUUGUUCUCAGUUCGGAUUGUAGUCUGCAACUCGACUACAUGAAGCUGGAAUCGCUAGUAAUCGUAGAUCAGCAUGCUACGGUGAAUACGUUCCCGGGUCU